rnacentral:rRNA from 1 species
UGGGGAAUAUUGGGCAAUGGAGGCAACUCUGACCCAGCAACGCCGCGUGAAGGAUGAAGGUUUUCGGAUUGUAAACUUCUGUCGCAGAGGACGAAGAAUGACGGUACUCUGUAAGAAAGCCACGGCAAACUACGUGCCAGCAGCCGCGGUAAUACGUAGGUGGCAAGCGUUGUCCGGAAUGACUGGGUGUAAAGGGAGUGUAGGCGGCUGGGUAAGUUAUAUGUGAAAGCCCCGGGCUCAACUCGGGAACUGCAUAUAAGACUGCCUAGCUAGAGUGUGGGAGAGGUAAGUGGAAUUCCUAGUGUAGCGGUGGAAUGCGUAGAUAUUAGGAGGAACACCAGAGGCGAAGGCGGCUUACUGGACCAUAACUGACGCUGAAACUCGAAAGCGUGGGGAUCAAACA